rnacentral:rRNA from 1 species
GAUGAAUGCUGGCGGCGUGCCUAAUACAUGCAAGUCGAGCGAACGGACGAGAAGCUUGCUUCUCUGAUGUUAGCGGCGGACGGGUAAGUAACACGUGGAUAACCUACCUAUAAGACUGGGAUAACUUCGGGAAACCGGAGCUAAUACCGGAUAAUAUUUUGAACCGCAUGGUUCAAAAGUGAAAGACGGUCUUGCUGUCACUUAUAGAUGGAUCCGCGCUGCAUUAGCUAGUUGGUAGGGUAACGGCUUACCAAGGCAACGAUGCAUAGCCGACCUGAGAGGGUGAUCGGCCACACUGGAACUGAGACACGGUCCAGACUCCUACGGGAGGCAGCAGUAGGGAAUCUUCCGCAAUGGGCGAAAGCCUGACGGAGCAACGCCGCGUGAGUGAUGAAGGUCUUCGGAUCGUAAAACUCUGUUAUUAGGGAAGAACAUAUGUGUAAGUAACUGUGCACAUCUUGACGGUACCUAAUCAGAAAGCCACGGCUAACUACGUG